AGAUUUUUUUUUUUUUUUUGGGUAGCAAGAGCUCCCUUGUACUACCAUCCGCCCCUGGCUGUCAGACCGUCAAGUUAUAACAGCAGCCAUGAAAUCAAUUGCACCGAUUGUGACCACCGGUAAAUAUGGUGACAAACUUUAAGAUAAUGCUGGUGUUAUUGUUAAUCCCAAAGGAGAAAUAAAAGGUCGCUUUUUGAUUGGAAGGAGAUAGCAGAUGGAGUGGAUUAGGGGACUAUAACAUUUAUCACUGUGACCAAAUGAGACAUUUGAACUAUUUCAAUUUUAACUAUUUUGGCUUUUGAAUGCUUGUUAGUUUUAUGUAAUUGGUAAUUACUGUCUGAAUUAUUCCUUUAAGUGGAAGCUGUAACCACUAAGACAUCAUGGUUUUAUGGAUCCAUUUUUAUAAGUUUGACCAAACUAAAAUGUCUAUUAAGCACUAUCAAUUUAUGAAUUGAUGUGUAUUCAGUAUUUUCACCAA